GUUGUUUUUUUCUUCAAUAAGUUUAACUGAGGUUGCAGAUUAAACACUAUAGAAGUAGGUCAAACAACUUGACCACUUCUUCACCACACGUGUCCGUUUAAGAGCCUGUUCUGAGCACAGAGAUCAGAGGAUUAAAAAGAUCAUAUCUCUUGAGUAUAAGUACCUCUAAUUGGCUCUCUCCUGCCAGAGAAGAGAGAUGUGUUUUAGAACAGAGAGAGGUGUGUUUUAGAACAGAGAGAUGUGUUUUAGAACAGAGAGAUGUGUUUUAGAACAGAGAGAUGUGUUUUUGAACAGAGAGAUGUGUUUUUGAACAGAGAGAUGUGUUUUAGAACAGAGAUGUGUUUUAGAACAGAGAGAUGUGUUUUAGAACAGAGAGAUGUGUUUUAGAACGGAGAGAGAUGUGUUUUAGAACGGAGAGAGAUGUGUUUUAGAACGGAGAGAGAUGUGUUUUAGAACAGAGAGAUGUGUUUUAGAACAGAGAGAUGUGUUUUAGAACAGAGAGAUGUGUUUUAGAACAGAGAGAUGUGUUUUAGAACAGAGAGAUGUGUUUUAGAACGGAGAGAGAUGUGUUUUAGAACGGAGAGAGAUGUGUUUUUGAACAGAGAGAUGUGUUUUAGAACAGAGAGAUGUGUUUUAGAACAGAGAGAGAUGUGUUUUAGAACAGAGAGAGAUGUGUUUUAGAACAGAGAGAUGUGUUUUAGAACAGAGAGAUGUGUUUUUGAACAGAGAGAUGUGUUUUAGAACAGAGAGAUGUGUUUUAGAACAGAGAGAUGUGUUUUAGAACGGAGAGAGAUGUGUUUUAGAACAGAGAGAGGUGUGUUUUAGAACAGAGAGAUGUGUUUUAGAACAGAGAUGUGUUUUAGAACAGAGAUGUGUUUUAGAACAGAGAGAUGUGUUUUAGAACAGAGAGAUGUGUUUUAGAACAGAGAGAUGUGUUUUAGAACAGAGAGAGAUGUGUUUUUGAACAGAGAGAGAUGUGUUUUUGAACAGAUAGAGAUGUGUUUUAGAACAGAGAGGUGUGUUUUAGAACAGAGAGAUGUGUUUUAGAACAGAGAGAGGUGUGUUUUAGAACAGAGAGAGGUGUGUUUUAGAAGAGAGAUGUGUGUUUUAGAACAGAGAGAUGUGUUUUGAACAGAGAUGUGUUUUAGAACAGAGAUGUGUUUUAGAACAGAGAUGUGUUUUGAACAGAGAUGUGUUUUGAACAGAGAGAGGUGUGUUUUAGAACAGAGAGAGGUGUGUUUUAGAACAGAGAGAGAUGUGUUUUAGAACAGAGAGAGGUGUGUUUUUGAACAGAGAUGUGUUUUUGAACAGAGAUGUGUUUUUGAACAGAGAUGUGUUUUGAACAGAGAUGUGUUUUAGAACCGAGAGAGGUGUGUUUUAGAACCGAGAGAGGUGUGUUUUAGAACCGAGAGAGGUGUGUUUUAGAACCGAGAGAGGUGUGUUUUAGAACAGAGAGAGGUGUGUUUUAGAACAGAGAGAGGUGUGUUUUAGAACAGAGAGGUGUGUUUUAGAACAGAGAGAUGUGUUUUUGAACAGAGAUGUGUUUUUGAACAGAGAUGUGUUUUUGAACAGAGAUGUGUUUUAGAACAGAGAUGUGUUUUGAACAGAGAUGUGUUUUAGAACCGAGAUGUGUUUUAGAACAGAGAGAUGUGUUUUAGAACAGAGAUGUGUUUUAGAACAGAGAUGUGUUUUAGCACAGAGCUCAGAACAGGCAUAAUAUGAGACACCAAGGUUAUUUCUCUAAAUUUCCUUCUAAUUUUUUCCAACACAGUCUCGAAGGUGUGUGUGUGUGUGUGUGUGUGUGUGUGUGUGUGU
rnacentral:lncRNA from 1 species